rnacentral:rRNA from 1 species
GACGAACGCUGGCGGCGUGCCUAAUACAUGCAAGUCGAGCGAAGUUUUUCUGGUGCUUGCACCGGAAAAACUUAGCGGCGAACGGGUGAGUAACACGUAAAGAACCUGCCUCAUAGACUGGGACAACUAUUGGAAACGAUAGCUAAUACCGGAUAACAGCAUUAACUGCAUGGUUGAUGUUUAAAAGUUGGUUUUGCUAACACUAUGAGAUGGCUUUGCGGUUCAUUAGCUAGUUGGUGGGGUAAAGGCCUACCAAGGCGACGAUGCAUAGCCGACCUGAGAGGGUGAUCGGCCACACUGGGACUGAGACACGGCCCAGACUCCUACGGGAGGCAGCAGUAGGGAAUCUUCCGCAAUGGGCGAAAGCCUGACGGAGCAACGCCGCGUGAGUGAAGAAGGAUUUCGGUUCGUAAAGCUCUGUUGUUAGGGAAGAAUGAUUGUGUAGUAACUAUACACAGUAGAGACGGUACCUAACCAGAAAGCCACGGCUAACUACGUG